rnacentral:rRNA from 1 species
GACAGAGGGUGCAAACGUUGUUCGGAAUUACUGGGCGUAAAGCGCGUGUAGGCGGCUCGGUAAGUCGGGUGUGAAAGCCCUGGGCUCAACCCAGGAAGUGCACUCGAAACUGCCGGGCUUGAGUUCCGGAGAGGAAGGCGGAAUUCUCGGUGUAGAGGUGAAAUUCGUAGAUAUCGAGAGGAACACCGGUGGCGAAGGCGGCCUUCUGGACGGUGACUGACGCUGAGACGCGAAAGCGUGGGGAGCAAAC